rnacentral:rRNA from 1 species
GACGGAGGGAGCUAGCGUUGUUCGGAAUCACUGGGCGUAAAGGGCGCGUAGGCGGCGCCGGCAGUCGGCCGUGAAAGCCCGGGGCUCAACCCCGGAGGUGCGGCCGAGACGCCGGUGCUGGAGGCCGGAAGAGGAGGGUGGAAUACCCAGUGUAGAGGUGAAAUUCGUAGAUAUUGGGUGGAACACCGGUGGCGAAAGCGGCUCUCUGGUCCGGUCCUGACGCUGAGGCGCGAAAGCGUGGGGAGCAAACAGG